UGAGAGGGUGAUCGGCCACACUGGGACUGAGACACGGCCCACACUCCUACGGGAGGCAGCAGUAGGGAAUCUUCCGCAAUGGACGAAAGUCUGACGGAGCAACGCCCCGUGAGUGAUGAAGGUUUUCGGAUCGUAAAGCUCUAUUGUUAGGGAAGAACAAGUGCCGUUCAAAUAGGGCGGCACCUUGACGGUACCUAACCAGAAAGCCACGGCUAACUACUUGCCAGCACCCGCGGUAAUACGUACGUGGCAAGCGUUGUCCGGAAUUAUUGGGCGUAAAGGGCUCGCAUGCGGUUUCUUAAGUCUGAUGUGAAAGCCCCCGGCUCAACCGGGGAGGGUCAUUGGAAACUGGGGAACUUGAGUGCAGAAAAGGAGAGUGGAAUUCCACGUGUAGCGGUGAAAUGCGUAGAGAUUUUGGAGGAACACCAGUGGCGAAAGCGACUCUCUCGUCUGUAACUGACGCUUAUGAGCGAAAGCGUGGGGAGCGAACAUGAUUAGAUACCCUGGUAGUCC
rnacentral:rRNA from 1 species